GCUAUGGGAUGAUAUAUGGACAGAAGAAUAUCUUGUAAAUAACAUAAGUAACUUAGUUAAUGUAUAUCUUAUUGUAAAUAUAUAAGGAACUUAGUUUAUGUAUAAAGUUUCAGUUAGCUUGUGUGUAUAUAGUUCCUACAAAUGAGUUGUAGACUUGUACAUGAUAUGUUGAAGCUAGUUUAUGGAACUUAGUUGUAGACUUUCAUUUCUUGCUUUGAACCGGGUAUAUCGAAUGUAAGCAUGUAAUUUUUGAUCCGCACAACUUUUAAAAGUAGUAUUUUAAAAAUAUUUACUUAUUUUCAUUUUAAUAGGAUUUCAGUCAACUUUUAGUUUUAAUUUUAAAACAUAAGUUUAAAAACACAAAUAUAGUUUUAUAAUGUUUCUUUUCUUAUUUAUAUAUAUUAACUUAUUAGUAUUUUAUAAUAUUUAUAACAUUUAAAAAAUAUUUAAAAUAUUUUCAUUUUAAUAUAUAGUUCACUUUGAUAGUUUAGUCUUAUUAGCUAAGAUUAAUUAGUAUAUUUUAGUAGUAUUUUUAUUUUUUAUAUUUUGUUUAAUAAGAAAUAAUUGAAUUUGGGCCAAUUGAGAUUUCAUUUUGAGAUUUUAAUGACCCAACAAGACAAAGGUCAAUUCUUAUCAAUUCAUUAGGCCACUCUUCGUCUCAAUGCAAGAUUUAAUCUUAACCAUAUAUUCUCCUCCAAUCUAAUGACCCAUGUCGCCCAUAUUUAAACCCAAUUAUAACCCAACCUUAACCUACCUUUUAAUUUUAGAGCUCACCCCAAAAGCUAAAAAUGGCCAGCCUUUCUUCUCCAUCUCCCUUCAUUGCUGCCGAACAACCCUCUGAGCCGCCUCUCCGCCUUAACGAAAUCUGCUGAUUCUUAGAAAAUCUCAACCACAACCUGCACAAAAAGAGAAAGAGGAACGGCAAAGAGGGGAGAACGAGAAAAAGUAACACGUUUGGCAUCUGAAUACUUCUUCACCAAAAUUAUUAGUAUCAUUUUUCAUUUGUCAUCUUCUUCUCAUUUUCCCCCACAUAUACUUGCUUGUCAGAUUUUAGGCACCACUAAUUUUCCCUCCAUCUAUUUCCUCGGCUAAAUCCUAGGUGAUAUA
rnacentral:lncRNA from 1 species